rnacentral:rRNA from 1 species
UGGCUCAGGACGAACGCUGGCGGCGUGCUUAAUACAUGCAAGUUGAGCGGAGCUAAUAGUGAGUUUACUUAUUAUUAGUCGAGCAGCGGACGGGUGAGUAACGCGUGGGCAAUCUGCCCUCUAGUUUGGGAUAACAGUUCGAAAGGACUGCUAACACCGAAUAAUCUUAAAUUUGGGCAUCUAAAUUUAAGGAAAGUUAACGCUAGAGGAUGAGCCCGCGUCCCAUUAGCUAGUUGGUGAGGUAACGGCCCACCAAGGCAACGAUGGGUAGCCGACCUGAGAGGGUGACCGGCCACACUGGGACUGAGACACGGCCCAGACUCCUACGGGAGGCAGCAGUAGGGAAUUUUCCGCAAUGGACGGAAAGUCUGACGGAGCAACGCCGCGUGAGGGAUGAAGGUUUUCGGAUCGUAAACCUCUGUCCUUGGGGAAGAUAAUGACGGUACCCAAGGAGGAAGCCACGGCUAACUACGUGCCAGCAGCUGC